rnacentral:miRNA from 1 species
UCUAUUUCUUUUCUCUCCUUCCU